rnacentral:rRNA from 1 species
GAUGAACGCUGGCGGCGUGCUUAACACAUGCAAGUCGAACGGUGAACACGGAGCCUGCUCUGUGGGAUCAGUGGCGAACGGGUGAGUAACACGUGAGCAACCUGCCCCUGACUCUGGGAUAAGCGCUGGAAACGGCGUCUAAUACUGGAUAUGUGACGUGACCGCAUGGUCUGCGUUUGGAAAGAUUUUUCGGUUGGGGAUGGGCUCGCGGCCUAUCAGCUUGUUGGUGAGGUAAUGGCUCACCAAGGCGUCGACGGGUAGCCGGCCUGAGAGGGUGACCGGCCACACUGGGACUGAGACACGGCCCAGACUCCUACGGGAGGCAGCAGUGGGGAAUAUUGCACAAUGGGCGGAAGCCUGAUGCAGCAACGCCGCGUGAGGGAUGACGGCCUUCGGGUUGUAAACCUCUUUUAGCAGGGAAGAAGCGAAAGUGACGGUACCUGCAGAAAAAGCGCCGGCUAACUACGUGCCAGCAGCCGCCGUAA